GAUGAACGCUAGCUACAGGCUUAACACAUGCAAGUCGAGGGGUAACGAGAGGAAAGCUUGCUUUCCUUGUCGACGACCGGCGCACGGGUGAGUAACGCGUAUCCAACCUGCCCCCAACUAAGGAAUAACCUUGCGAAAGUAAGACUAAUACCUUAUAAUUUCCUCAGAUGACAUCUGACGAGGAAUAAAGAUUUAUCGGUUGUGGAUGGGGAUGCGUCUGAUUAGCUUGUUGGCGGGGUAACGGCCCACCAAUGCAACGAUCAGUAGGGGUUCUGAGAGGAAGGUCCCCCACAUUGGAACUGAGAAACGGUCCAAACUCCUACGGGAGGCAGCAGUGAGGAAUAUUGGUCAAUGGGCGGAAGCCUGAACCAGCCAAGUAGCGUGCAGGAUGACGGCCCUAUGGGUUGUAAACUGCUUUUAUACAGGAAUAAAGUUAGCCACGUGUGGUUAUUUGUAGGUACUGUAUGAAUAAGGACCGGCUAAUUCCGUGCCAGCAGCCGCAGUAA
rnacentral:rRNA from 1 species